GUAAGAAACAGCGAAUCUUUAAAUUCUUUCAAUAGAAAUAUUUCCUCUGUUAGUCUGACGAAUUAGCUAUUUGACUUUUGUAUAUACCAUUUGUUUUGUAAUAUGUAUUUGUAUUCGUAGUUCUUAAUAUUCUUAGUGAUUUUGUAUUUUAUAUAUUUUUGUUACAUAAUUUAUCUACGCCCCACUUGGAAAGCAGCUCCGGUUGAAGUGGCCAGCGUAGUCAAAUAAAGUUUUAUCUUAUCUUAUCUU